rnacentral:rRNA from 1 species
UACGAAGGGGGCUAGCGUUGUUCGGAAUUACUGGGCGUAAAGCGCACGUAGGCGGGUCGUUAAGUCAGGGGUGAAAUCCCGGAGCUCAACUCCGGAACUGCCUUUGAUACUGGCGAUCUAGAGAUCGAGAGAGGUGAGUGGAAUUCCGAGUGUAGAGGUGAAAUUCGUAGAUAUUCGCAAGAACACCAGUGGCGAAGGCGGCUCACUGGCCCGAUACUGACGCUGAGGCACGAAAGCGUGGGGAGCAAAACGG